rnacentral:rRNA from 1 species
UACGUAGGGACCGAGCGUUGUCCGGAAUCAUUGGGCGUAAAGAGCGUGUAGGCGGCCAAACAGGUCAGCUGUGAAAACUCGAGGCUCAACCUCGAGACGUCGGUUGAAACCGUUUGGCUAGAGUCCGGAAGAGGAGAGUGGAAUUCCCGGUGUAGCGGUGAAAUGCGCAGAUAUCGGGAAGAACACCCGUGGCGAAGGCGGCUCUCUGGGACGGUACUGACGCUGAGACGCGAAAGCGUGGGAGCGAACAGG